rnacentral:rRNA from 1 species
AUUUCCGGUUGAUCCUGCCGGACCUGACUGCUAUCGGAUUGGUACUAAGCCAUGCGAGUCAUUGUACAAUACAAGGCGAACGGCUCAGUAACACGUAGUCAACCUAACUCGUGGACGUGGAUAACCUCGGGAAACUGAGAAUAAACCACGAUAGAUCAUAAUGCCUGGAAUGGCUUAUGGUCCAAACAGUUUACUGCCAUGGGAUGGGACUGCGGCCUAUCAGCUUGUUGGUGAGGUAAUGGCCCACCAAGGCAAUUACAGGUACGGGCUCUGAGAGGAGAAGCCCGGAGAUGGGUACUGAGACACGGACCCAGGCCCUAUGGGGCGCAGCAGGCGAGAAACCUUAGCAAUGUGCGAAAGCACGACUGGGUCAGUCCGAGUGAUUCCUGAUAAACGGAAGUUCC